rnacentral:rRNA from 1 species
UACGAAGGGUGCAAGCGUUACUCGGAAUUACUGGGCGUAAAGCGUGCGUAGGUGGUUGUUUAAGUCUGUUGUGAAAGCCCUGGGCUCAACCUGGGAACUGCAGUGGAAACUGGAUGACUAGAGUGUGGUAGAGGGUAGCGGAAUUCCCGGUGUAGCAGUGAAAUGCGUAGAGAUCGGGAGGAACAUCCAUGGCGAAGGCAGCUACCUGGACCAACACUGACACUGAGGUGCGAAAGCAUGGGGAGCAAACAGG